ensembl:lncRNA
GUUUGUUUGGUUUGUGUUAAGAGAGCUAGGCCAUUUGUAGCACUGUCUCAAAAACUCGUCUCUCUCUUUUUUUUAAUGUUUAUUUUUGAGAGAGGGUGGGGGGAGGGGCAGAGAGAGAGAGAGGGACAGAGGAUCUGAAGCAGACUCUGUGCUGACAGCAGAGGGCCCCAUGUGGGGCUCAAACUCAAAACCCUGAGGUCAUCACUCGAGCCGAAGUUGGAUGUUCAACUGACUGAGCCACCCAGAUGCCUCUCAAAAAACUCUUCUGGAUUUCAAGAAGAUAAUUAUUUGUCACUUACAUGUUGAAAACCUCUUAUAUCUAGGAUAUACAUUUGUAGUGAUAAAUACAGUAGAACUGCUAAGAGAACACAGGGAAGCUUUGUGUUGUCCACACGUAAGGUAUUUUAUUCUUGUUUUGUAGGAUUUAGGAGAUGGGGUUACUACUUGAAAUGAUUUCACUCUGUUGUGUUGCUGUGUGUUGUAGGAUGCUGCUGCUCUGCAGGAUCUGUCAUCCAGGACCCACGAACAGGAUGUGUCUUUCCCGCAGUGAUCCCACUCUUCAGCCCCUGCAGGAAGUGAAAGUUUUGCAGAGAACUUCUUAAAGAAUGUUGUGGGCCCCAGUUGUUCCAGUUUUACCUCUUCUCCUGGUCUUUUUGGAGCAGUCUGUGGACUCUGAUCCUUCUGAGGUCUUGGACUGCACUGAGCAACCUGGGGAUGCCCCGGAGCCUUUAACUCGUUACCACCCCUCACAAGUUCACCUCACCACACGCGACUAUGUGAAGCCCCAAGCUGAGGCUGCCAGCAGCUGUAAGCAAUAUGGUCUGCGUCGUUGCUCAUGGCAGGAACUUUGAGCUGGGACACAGUUUCACUCCGUAGAUGUAUUUCUCCUCUGAGGGAAGCCUAACACCCGAGCUGACCUUGCCCCCUUCUGAAAGGGAGGACCAUAUCUCACAGUGGCAACAGGAGGCUACAGGUCAGUGGGGUGAUGACCGGGCCCUCAGAGACCCUGCUCUCUCUCUUUACAAAACCCCAUAAAUCCUUCCAAAGGGAGUAAUUCCCUCAGGAUCAAGAGAGUCCUCCACAUUCCUAAAAUCAGUGAAGGCAAAAUGUACAGGGAUUUCUGAGAAAAGUAAAUGUGGUGUGAGCAUGAUCCCUGGGUGUUACUGUGCUGCAGAGAAGGCCCCCCCCUUCCCCCCCUGAAUGGUGUUCUUUGCUCUCAAGUUAACUCACGCACUGGACUUGGUCCAAGUACAUUUUGUUUCUUGAUUUCUAGCCAGGCUUCUCUCAGUUGUGGUGCAUUCUCCUCUUUGCUCCCCUCCCUCCCCCGCCCCCUUCUCUCUUUUUAUAAUUAUUUCAGCUUUUCCAUGUGACUGAACUGAUACAGAGGAAAACCCACCAGCUUAGGUAGGGCUUCCACCAGAGUGGGGCCAGAGGGACUCUGUGAACGGCCGGCCCCUCACUCAGCAAUGGCCUGCAUGGCAAGGUAUGUCUAAGAGCAGCUGAAGCAGAAAGCGUUUGAACUCUGCCCCUGCCAAAUGACUUCCAGAUGUGUAAACUCCAGCCUCCCUCUGCUCUCUGACUGUAGCCCUGCCAACAUACAUCUGCAG